UCAUUCCGAUCUGCCUGAAUCUCCAAAGCGUUUUAGAUAAGACACCGCAACAGAAGCAGGCUGGGGCUCCAUUCAGCAGCGUGUGCGUGUGUGCCCGCCGCAGGGCGCUGGUUGGGUGUUGGGGGAGGACAGAGUGGUCUGGAACCGAACCGGCAGUGUUUCUGAGUUAUGCCCUGCAACAUUAGGCUGAGUCUAAGGAUAUCAAGUCAACAAAACAGUCAGGGAGCAGUCAGAUAAUGAAAUUAAGCCUGCAGUUGAAAGUGUCGGAGACGGUUGUUAGAAAGAGGCCGAAGUUGAGCGCGGUCUUGGAGGGCCUUGUUUUGGGAGGACCAGCAUUUUCUGAUAAAUG
rnacentral:lncRNA from 1 species